rnacentral:rRNA from 1 species
CCCUUAGAUGUUCUGGGCCGCACGCGCGCUACACUGAUGCAUUCAACGAGUCUAAAACCUGCUCUGAUAGGGGUGGGUAAUCUUUUGAAUGUGCAUCGUGAUUGGGAUAGAUAAUUGCAAUUUUUCAUCUUCAACGAGGAAUGCCUAGUAAACGCAAGUCAUCAGCUUGCAUUGAUUACGUCCCUGCCCUUUGUACACACCGCCCGUCGCUCCUACCGAUUGAAUGAUCCGAUGAAUAUCAUGGAUUGAGGAUGCAAGUAGGUUAGCCUAUCUUCAUCUUCGAGAAGUGAAGUAAAUCUUAUCAUUUAGAGGAAGGAGAAGUCGUAACA